rnacentral:rRNA from 1 species
GACGAACGCUGGCGGCGUGCCUAAUACAUGCAAGUCGAACGCUUCUUUUUCCACCGGAGCUUGCUCCACCGGGAAAAGAGGAGUGGCGAACGGGUGAGUAACACGUGGGUAACCUGCCCAUCAGAAGGGGAUAACACUUGGAAACAGGUGCUAAUACCGUAUAACAAUCGAAACCGCAUGGUUUCGUUUUGAAAGGCGCUUUACGGUGCCGCUGAUGGAUGGACCCGCGGUGCAUUAGCUAGUUGGUGAGGUAACGGCUCACCAAGGCCACGGUGCAUAGCCGACCUGAGAGGGUGGUCGGCCACAUUGGGACUGAGACACGGCCCAAACUCCUACGGGAGGCAGCAGUAGGGAAUCUUCUGCAAUGGACGAAAGUCUGACCGAGCAACGCCGCGUGAGUGAAGAAGGUUUUCGGAUCGUAAAACUCUGUUGUUAGAGAAGAACAAGGGUGAGAGUAACUGUUCACCCCUUGACGGUAUCUAACCAGAAAGCCACGGCUAACUACGUGCCAGCCGCCGCCGUAA